rnacentral:lncRNA from 1 species
CCUGGUGGUGCACGUCCCCAACCUUAUGUGGAUUUCCUAAAUUCUGCAAAAAAGGUUUGGAAGCCGAUCAAUCAAUACUGGAACUCCCUCUUCUCCAGAAGAGACAUCCUGGCCUCCAUGCUGAGGAAUGUGUGGAUGGACAUAUAUUUAAGGAAGACACUAAACCAGAAACUACUACAUUACACCCUCUUAGAAGACUUCUAAGAUUGUUGUCAUGCCUACCACAGACAUUCAGAUGAUGUGUAUUGUUGAUUGUGAUUUCAUGUUUGGACCUGAUGAAGGAGUUUGAAGUCUCCAGAGCAGCAAAGAGAGUGGGGAGUAGAACUCAUCAUCUUUAGGUCACUCAUCAUCG